AUUCCCCGCCAUUCCUGGCGCUCUCACCAAAAACAAUUAGCAAGGGCUGCGAGCUUCCAAAGAGAGCUGGAGAGAAAGGGGAGGGGAAAAUACACCUCACUGCAUCCAACAGGAAGCGCCAAGAACGCUGCUAAAUAAAACUCCUUAAAGCGUAUUUCCUUCCCCCAGGUAUCCCACCUUGCUUCCUAGGAACCACGCAGCAGAACGAGCAGUGAAACUAAGAAAUGUUCCGCUUACGUCAAACAGAGCUGAGCUCUGAAACCACAGCGGCGCAGACAGCGCCGGCAGCUCCAGGCUGAGGCGGCGAGGAGAGCAGGCCGGACACACCGCGGCGUUAUCCCCACGGCUCCAGGGCCCGUGUCUGCCGCCAAGGGCAGAGCCGCGAGCGGCGUGUGUGCGCACGAGCGUCUGUAAUACAGCGCGAGCUUCUCACCCCGACUGCGGGACACAGUAUUGAUGGGCUCCAGGUGAACUUCUGUAUUACUGUGGAAAAAACCUGCACCGCACAGAGUUUCUGCCAAUUUGAGCGGAGCGCGCGCCCGCGAACACACGCGAAUGACAGAACGGCUGCGGCAGCCGGCGGAACCCGCGCGCCGGCCUCCACGGGGGUGUUUUGGACGGCACACACGCGGCAGCAGCACCAACAGGCAGGCGGCAGAUCCGGAUCCGCAGCCAUCUCAUCUCCCCUGCCACGAGCAAUACGCUUCUAAUCAUUCACACACAGGCGCGUCGCGAUUGCCGGGCGAGCAACAACACCCGCAGCACCGGCCGCCUCAGCCUGCGUGUCCCGGGGUGUUCUCCCCGUGAAGCAACACACGUACGAGAGCACAGCCUGAAACACAAGGGGUAAUCAACAGUACUCAGGCCAAGUACAAUAUACAUAUAUAGAAAGAGAUUUUUCCUGUUACAAACUGGUCUCAAGGGGGCUACAAACAGAGUGAAAAAUUGCUUAAGGGUUGGUACAAACCCUACACACGUACCAAAAUAAAACCCAACCCAAACCUCUCAAGCCUUUCGCCUCUCACUAAUCCGAACACGGGCGUUGUUAUCAAGGUCACCCAUCUCUCAUUCAGGCUCGGGAGAGGCGGGGAAAAGUCCAGCAAGUUGGGAAAAAAAACGCUCACAGAACUGAACGGGGACAAGUGACAUUUUCUCUGAAAGCACGCGGAUUACGGCUGCCAUCAACCGACAAACCUGACUUGAAUUCUCUUCAGACCGAAUAAAAGAGAAGCUCCAAGGGCACUGGUUUGAGGGGAACCCAAGCAACAGCACCAACCCUACCGAAGGCAGAGCCCACAAUUAACGCUUCUCCUCGGCUUAUUUCCACUCCUGCCGCCGGGUUUGGGAGGGGGACGGUAAUUCAGGGGGUAUGGAUGAGCCAGAAGCCCUCUCGGCUUCCCCCCGCUCCAAGCAGCUCUGGUUAUUAACCGGUCACACGAGCCGGGCACAGACAAACAUGAAAACUUUUCAUUAA